CCUACGGGUGGCUGCAGUGGGGAAUAUUGGACAAUGGGGGCAACCCUGAUCCAGCCAUGCCGCGUGUGUGAAGAAGGCCCUCGGGUUGUAAAGCACUUUCAGUGAGGAAGAACGCCUGGUGGUUAAUACCCAUCAGGAAAGACAUCACUCACAGAAGAAGCACUGGCUAACUCCGUGCCAGCAGCCGCGGUAAUACGGAGGGUGCGAGCGUUAAUCGGAAUUACUGGGCGUAAAGCGCGCGUAGGUGGCUUGAUAAGCCGGUUGUGAAAGCCCCGGGCUCAACCUGGGAACGGCAUCCGGAACUGUCAAGCUAGAGUGCAGGAGAGGAAGGUAGAAUUCCCGGUGUAGCGGUGAAAUGCGUAGAGAUCGGGAGGAAUACCAGUGGCGAAGGCGGCCUUCUGGACUGACACUGACACUGAGGUGCGAAAGCGUGGGUAGCAAACAGGAUUAGAUACCCCUGUAGUC
rnacentral:rRNA from 1 species